rfam:Cavia porcellus supercont2_0 genomic scaffold, whole genome shotgun sequence.
GGGCAUUUAGCUCAGUGGCAUGAGCACCUGCCUUGAAACCAGGCAGUCAUGCGUUCAAUACCCA